AGGCGAAAAGAACCCCGGCGAGGGGAGUGAAAAAGAACCUGAAACCGUGUACGUACAAGCAGUGGGAGCCCCACCACCAAAGCAUUUGCUGUACCAUGUUGACGGAGCGAAGCGACGUCAAACCGAUAAAACAGCAGUGUAAAGUGAGCCGCAGGGCGCUUUGCGCGACAGCGCAAAGGCAGGCGGUUUCGCGUAGCGAAAGCGAAUGCUUUGGGGUGGGGUGACUGCGUACCUUUUGUAUAAUGGGUCAGCGACUUAUAUUCUGUAGCAAGGUUAACCGAAUAGGGGAGCCGGAGGGAAACCGAGUCUUAACCG
rnacentral:rRNA from 1 species